rnacentral:lncRNA from 1 species
UUCCAUCAGUUCUGUCUCUCUAGAGAACCCUGACUAAUACACCUGGUAUCCGGCGGGUGCUCACUGUGACAGUGUGGACAGCUGCCUGAUUGCAGUCUUGAGCACCUGUCUUUCUGAUGCCCUUUCUCCUCUUUCUGCCCUGGGGGCGGCUCCAGCCAGCUUCCCACCUCCAGAGUUGGAGUUCAAAAGGAGAGAUGCAGCCAGCUCCUUCCCAGCCAGCAGAUGGGCCAGGGGCCAGCGGAAGGGGAGGGAAAAUCCUCGGACAUGUGGCCUGGCAUUUUGAACUCCCUGCACUUUGUGGGAAAAACAGGCAGUACAAGAGUAAUAUUCACCUAGAAGUAGAAAGUCAGGGCCGAGGGAAAAAAGCAGCUACGUUAGGAAGGCGAGUCCAGGGACAGAUACGUUACCCACCAGGUCCUUCAUGAUUGCUGUAGCCAAGCUGCAAGUUCCUGGCGGCCAAUGGGAGCGUGGAAAGAAGGAAAGGUUUAAGGUUCUCGUGGCCAUUGGAGAAAAUACUUUAGCUGCUCAGGAAGAGUAAAUCUUUCCCUAGCUCUCAUUUGUGAAAGAAAUUUUCCUUAAGGGGCUUCACCUACAAGUCAUCGGGAGUAACGGUGAUUGGAUUGGUCAGUGUUCUCAAGAGAAGCUGAACCCACAGGAUGUGCUGAUAUACAGACAGAGAUUUGUGAUAAGGAAUUGGCUUGAACCAUGUUGGAACUGGCAAGUCCAAAAUCCACAGGAUGAGCCAACAGGCUGGAGAGUGAGGAGAACCGAUGCCAUGGUUCUAGUCUGAAGGCUGUCUGUGGUAGAAGCAGGUGGAGCUGACCUCACAGAUGGAGCCUGAAGGCCUUCUGCAGCAGAAUUCUCUCUUGCAUUUGGGUUCUAAUCAGGCCUUCCACUGAUUGGGUAAGGCCCACCCACAUUAGGGAGGGCACAUUGCUUUACUGAACAUCCUUCAGUUUAAAUGUUCAUCUCAUCCAAAACACCCUCGCAGAAACACCUGGAAUCAUGCUUGACCAAAUAUCUGGGCACCCUGUGUCCCAUCCAGGUUGCAUUAGUCUAUGUUCAUGCUGCUAAUAAAGACAGUACCCAAGACUGGGUAAUGUAUAAAGAAAAAGAGGUUUGAUGGACUUACAGUUGCACGUGGCUGGAGAGGCCUCAUUAUCAUGGCAGAAGGCAAAGGAGGAGCAAAGUCACAUCUUGCAUGGCGGCAGGCAAGAGGGAGCAUGUGCAGGGGCAUUCCCCUUUGUAAAACCAUCAGAUCUUGUGAGACUUAUUCACUAUCAUGAGACCAACAUGGGAAAAGCCUGCCCCCAUGAUUCAAUAAAAUUAGCCACGACAGGGAUGGGGAGUGUUGCCCCCAUCUCUACAGCACACACAGCCCUGGACUGUCCAAAUGGGUCCCCCAAAUGCACUGGGUGCACCAUGGUUCUGAUUGGAGGAGAGAUGAGUCUACUGCCCAUCUCUGGGGCUGGCGUGCAUCUCAGGGAGGUCUGAGAUUCUUCAACUAGGCUGUUGACCAUACAGUCACGUGGUGGCAUCAUUUUGUUGUGUUUUUUUUGUUUUUUUUUAAUGAGAUGUCAGGUUUGGAAAAGAAGAAGAUGAACACAUCAGAUGCUUGAGUGAUUUUAAGGGCAGACGCUUAGGCAAAUGCCUGUUGGGAAUCUUUGGCUCCCCCAGUCAGCCAAUCAGCUCCUUCUCACUUAUGAGCCAAUGGAGCAAAGGAAGAUGGAGUUGAGGAAAAAGGAGUCCCAAGGUCAGGAAGGAGAGAGAAGUCAGUUGAGGAGAAAUGGAACCUUGCUUCACCUUAGAGCAUUUGCAUCAUGGUGGUAUUGUGUCCCACACCAACCUGCUGGGGCUGCCACAGGGAGCAGGGAGAGAGGGGAGAAAGUAGCUGAGAUUCUGCUUCCUCCCAGCCUCCACUCUUACCCUGGAGCCUCCCAUUUGCUGAACGUACCCAGAAGCCAGAGGGCAAAGGACUCUGGGAAAUGUAGUUCCCUUUGGCAUGUGCACAGGCAGGGCAGGGUUAGCAAACCACUUACAUACCCAGAUGAUGGCUUACUCUUUUCCUUCAAGUGUCUGCCCAAGUGUCAUCUGCUGGGAAAUGCCUUCCUUGACACCAAACCACCCCCUCAACCCUGCCAACCUGGCCUGGCUCAGCACUCUCUAUUCUUCUGCUAGCCUGCCUUUAUUUUUCAUUAUAGAACUUAGUACCAGCUGAUGUUGCUUUAUGUAUCUAUUUAUUGGAUUGUCUGGUUCUAUUUUUAAUUGGAUUAUCUAGUUCUAUUUUUUAUUUAUUAUAUUGUCUGGUUCUAUUUUUUAUUAAUUGGAUUGUCUGGUUCUGUUUUUAUUUAUUGUCUAGAAUGCAAGCCCACAAGGGCAGGCCAUCUGUCUGUCUUGCUCUCUGUCUUGCUCAUUUGAGAACAG